rnacentral:rRNA from 1 species
GAUGAACGCUGGCGGCGUGCCUAAUACAUGCAAGUCGAGCGAACGGACGAGAAGCUUGCUUUUCUGAUGUUAGCGGCGGACGGGUGAGUAACACGUGGAUAACCUACCUAUAAGACUGGGAUAACUUCGGGAAACCGGAGCUAAUACCGGAUAAUAUUUUGAACCGCAUGGUUCAAAAGUGAAAGACGGUCUUGCUGUCACUUAUAGAUGGAUCCGCGCUGCAUUAGCUAGUUGGUAAGGUAACGGCUUACCAAGGCAACGAUGCAUAGCCGACCUGAGAGGGUGAUCGGACACACUGGAACUGAGACACGGUCCAGACUCCUACGGGAGGCAGCAGUAGGGAAUCUUCCGCAAAGGGCGAAAGCCUGACGGAGCAACGCCGCGUGAGUGAUGAAGGUCUUCGGAUCGUAAAACUCUGUUAUUAGGGAAGAACAUAUGUGUAAGUAACUGUGCACAUCUUGACGGUACCUAAUCAGAAAGCCACGGCUAACUACGUG